UCUAUGAUUCACAUGGUCCACAUUAAGUGUCACGUACCACACCAACUCCUGUGAGGUAUUGUCCACUUUAGCCCGUUAGUCUCAUGAUUUUGUCUCACAAAAAGCGCCUCACAAGUUAAAGGUGGUGUGAACCCUUAUAUUUCCAGUAUCACUCUAGUACAUAGCCAAUGUGGGAUUCAUGACUCCCUUCUCUAAGACCAUGACAUCUACCUUUACUCCCCGUUGGGAGUUUCUCUUUGAUUUCAAUGUGCGACUUUAUGGCUCACUCGCUGAGAGCAUUAUAUUGAUGAUAUGGAAUUCAAGUCCAUGCGAGGACCGUGAUAUCUUUCCCCACUUCAACAAAGGUCCACUGUCCUCAGUGGCACAUUGCUAGUACUCAGAGUUUGGUCUGAUACCAAUUGUCACAGUCCACACCAACCCCUGUGAGGUAUUGUCCGCUUUAGCCCGCUGGCCUCACGGUUUUAU
rnacentral:lncRNA from 1 species